UAAGACAUUUUCUUUUGUUGUUGUUGUGAAAAUUGACCAUGGGAAAGAGAAUGAAACAUAGUUUUCAAAGUUGCAUAUAAAUCAGGCUUUUAAAAAGGGUCCCCAAAAUCAAACCAACUUUAUUCAUGUAAUUAAAAGGUUUCUCGAGCUACUCAAAAGCCUCUCCUUCCCUCCCUCCCUCAUCCUCUCUGGACUCUGCAGCAAAUGUUUGUACUCUUUUUUAUGGUUUAUCUUUCGGAGUCAAUAUUGAAGUUCAACUAAAUCUGAAUCGCACACUAUAGGAUUCAGAAUUGAUUCAGAGAAGGCGCUCUCAAAAAAAAUAUCUUUAUACUCAAGACUUAAACUCGAGAUAUCUAAUUAUGAAUGAGGCAAUUUCACCACUGCACCACACUGGAUAUUGAUAUGUUAGUACUAUUAAUGAAAAAGAAAGGUAAGAAAAGAAGAGAAGUUUCAAAAACCUGCCCACCCACCCUAUUCCCUGUUUGAAGGGUAUAGAAUAGGUGUGUGGGUGGGGGGGGGGUGUUACAGAAAGAGGUGAAAACAAGACGUCAAAAUAAUUUUAUUAGGUUCAGUAGUCACUAUACGUCUGAUUUUGGGGACAUGUAUAGAUUGCGUGGAUCGAGGAUGAAUAAAUGAUAGUGUAAUGAUGGUUAAAUUAUUUGACAUUCUUCCUCUUUCUUCCUGCUACACCAUCCUAUCCUAUGACCUCUCCACGGGCGGAUCUACAUUGCGUUGCAACCAAAAACGAAACUUGAUAGCACUCUAAUCAGCUGUGAUUCCUCUUGUUGAAAAGAAAGAUGCAUCUCUUUUUUCUUCAAAAGCUGCCGUGCAUUUCUUUUUUUAUAGGUACACUUGGGCCUUCAGGGGAGUUCGUUUGAAACUUUUCGACGGAAAAUUAUAUUAUUUAUACAUAGUUAAAAUAAGUUUAUAUAUAUAGUAGAUAUCGAACCCCCUUCGAGUAUCUAUUUCUAUAUAUUAUAAAGUGAAAAUUCUGGUUC